UGAACUAAUCAAAAAGGAGGUCAUUUUGGUUGGGCCUGACUUAAUUAGUUGAAAACCCUUAAAAGACUAACCUAGCCGUCCCCAAUGAGAAGGACUCUCUCUCCUUCCAACCAGAGGGAUCUUGGAAGACGAUCUUUCCCUCGCUGAUCCUCUGAAUGAGAAUGCAAUCUAACAAGUAGAUUUCAGCUUCAUGAGAUCCUGAACAGAGGACCCAGGAAAACUUGAACCAGGGGGUAAACUGAGAUAGAGUUGGCCAGAGCCGGAAAUUAUAACAAGCUGUGAACAAUCAUUGAAGCUUCCUGAAGGUACUAGAGUGGUCUUUGCUGUGAUCUUCAGAAUUGCAUACGUUUUAUUAGUCAGCUGUAUAGAAGCGGGUACUAUGCCUUCUACCUAUCCCUGGGCCUCUAUGAUGGAGUGCCUACCAUUUUUCAGCCACUAUCCAGUAAAAUUGGUCUACAAGUGGCCACAUGACCCAAUUUUGGCCAGUGCAAUAAAAGUUGAAAUCUCUGAGUAGAGCUUCCGGGAAGACUUUCUAACAGAGAGAGGCUUGGCAGGCACACCACUUUGCCCUUCACCAUUUGUUCCUCUUUUUCCAAGAGCAUAUAAGGACAGUGAAAAGUCAGACAUCUGCAAGCCAAGAAGAGAGUCCUCAUUAGAAGCCAACCCUGCUGGACGUUGAUCUGGAACGUUAAGCCUCCAGAGCUAUGAUAAAAUAAAUUUCUGUUGUUUAAGCCA